rnacentral:rRNA from 1 species
GACGAACGCUGGCGGCGUGCUUAACACAUGCAAGUCGAACGGUGAUGCUCCAGCUUGCUGGAGUGGAUCAGUGGCGAACGGGUGAGUAACACGUGAGCAACCUGCCCCAGACUCUGGAAUAAGCGCUGGAAACGGCGUCUAAUACUGGAUACGAAACUGGCCCGCAUGGGCAUGGUUUGGAAAGUUUUUCGGUUUGGGAUGGGCUCGCGGCCUAUCAGCUUGUUGGUGAGGUAAUGGCUCACCAAGGCGACGACGGGUAGCCGGCCUGAGAGGGCGACCGGCCACACUGGGACUGAGACACGGCCCAGACUCCUACGGGAGGCAGCAGUGGGGAAUAUUGCACAAUGGGCGAAAGCCUGAUGCAGCGACGCCGCGUGAGGGAUGACGGCCUUCGGGUUGUAAACCUCUUUCAGCAGGGAAGAAGCGAAAGGGACGGUACCUGCAGAAGAAGCACCGGCUAACUACGU